rnacentral:sRNA from 1 species
GCUGGGCGUGGUGGCGGGCGCCUGUAGUCCCAGCUACUCAGGAGGCUGAGGCAGGAGAAUCGCUUGAGCCCGGGAGGUGGAGGUUGUGGUGAGCCGAGAUCGCGCCACUGCACUCCAGCCUGGGCGACAGAGCGAGACUCUGUCUCAA